rnacentral:tRNA from 1 species
GCGCCCGUAGCUUAAUUGGAUAGAGCAUCUGACUACGGAUCAGAAGGUUGUGAGUUCGAGUCCCGCCGGGCGCGCCA